GACGAACGCUGGCGGCGUGCCUAAUACAUGCAAGUAGAACGCUGAAGGAGGAGCUUGCUUCUCUGGAUGAGUUGCGAACGGGUGAGUAACGCGUAGGUAACCUGCCUGGUAGCGGGGGAUAACUAUUGGAAACGAUAGCUAAUACCGCAUAAUAGUAGAUGUUGCAUGACAUUUGCCUAAAAGGUGCAAUUGCAUCACUACCAGAUGGACCUGCGUUGUAUUAGCUUGUUGGUGGGGUAACGGCUCACCAAGGCGACGAUACAUAGCCGACCUGAGAGGAGGAGCGGCAAAACUGGGACUGGGACACGACCCAGACCCCUGCGGGUGAGAGCCGGAGGGAACCUUCAGGAAUGGACGGAAGGCUGACCGAGCAACGCCGCGUGAGUGAAGGAGGUUUUCGGAUCGUGAAGCUCUGUUGUAAGAGAAGAACGAGUGUGAGAGUGGAAAGUUCACACUGUGACGGUAUCUGACCAGAAAGGGACGGCUAACUACGUG
rnacentral:rRNA from 1 species